GUUGGUUACGGUGACAAGGUUCCCAAAGGACCACUGGGCAAACUGGUUGGCAGUGUUUGUGCCGUAGCUGGUGUCUUGACGCUCGCUAUCCCUGUUCCUAUCAUCACUGAAAAC
rfam:Opisthorchis viverrini opera_v5_172.18, whole genome shotgun sequence.